rnacentral:Y_RNA from 1 species
AGCUGGUCCAAUUUUAGUGGUGCUUAUAAUUAUUGAUCCCAGUUCAUUAUAGGUGUCUUUGUUCUUUCUCCACUCCCUUGCUUCACCUGACUAGUCUUCC